rnacentral:tRNA from 1 species
GGGGCUGUAGUAAAGAGGGAUUACACGGCGUUCGCAACGCCGGGUCACGGGUUCGAUUCCCGUCAGCUCCACCA